rnacentral:rRNA from 1 species
AUUCUGUAGCAAGGUUAACCGUAUAGGGGAGCCGUAGGGAAACCGAGUCUUAACCGGGCGUUAAGUUGCAGGGUAUAGACCCGAAACCCGGUGAUCUAGCCAUGGGCAGGUUGAAGGUUGGGUAACACUAACUGGAGGACCGAACCGACUAAUGUUGAAAAAUUAGCGGAUGACCUGUGGCUGGGGGUGAAAGGCCAAUCAAACCGGGAGAUAGCUGGUUCUCCCCGAAAGCUAUUUAGGUAGCGCCUCGUGAAUUCAUCUCCGGGGGUAGAGCACUGUUUCGGCUAGGGGGCCAUCCCGGCUUACCAACCCGAUGCAAACUGCGAAUACCGGAGAAUGUUAUCACGGGAGACACACGGCGGGUGCUAACGUCCGUCGUGAAGAGGGAAACAACCCAGACCGCCAGCUAAGGUCCCAAAGUCAUGGUUAAGUGGGAAACGAUGUGGGAAGGCCCAGACAGCCAGGAUGUUGGCUUAGAAGCAGCCAUCAUUUAAAGAAAGCGUAAUAGCUCACUGGUCGAGUCGGCCUGCGCGGAAGAUGUAACGGGGCUAAACCAUGCACCGAAGCUGCGGCAGCGAACGUAUCACCCAAGACAACUUUACGGAGUUGACGAUUGACGGAGCGAAGCGACGUCAAAGCGUUCAUUAAAGUCGAGUUGGCUUAGGGAUACGUUCGUUGGGUAGGGGAGCGUUCUGUAAGCCUGUGAAGGUGUGUCGUGAGGCAUGCUGGAGGUAUCAGAAGUGCGAAUGCUGACAUAAGUA